UCGGGAAUUUUGGGCAAUGGGCGAAAGCCUGACCCAGCAACGCCGCGUGAAGGAUGAAGUAUUUCGGCAUGUAAACUUCGUAAGAAUAGGAAGAAUAAAUGACGGUACUAUUUGUAAGGUCCGGCUAACUACGUGCCAGCAGCCGCGGUAAUACGUAGGGACCAAGCGUUGUUCGGAUUUACUGGGCGUAAAGGGCGCGUAGGCGGUGUGUCAAGUCAGUUGUGAAAUCUCCGAGCUUAACUCGGAACGGUCAACUGAUACUGUCACACUAGAGUACAGAAGGGGCAAUCGGAAUUCUUGGUGUAGCGGUGAAAUGCGUAGAUAUCAAGAGGAACACCUGAGGCGAAGGCGGGUUGCUGGGCUGAUACUGACGCUGAGGCGCGAAAGCUAGGGUAGCAAACAGGAUUAGAUACCCUGGUAGUCCCUGAGCGGGCUGGCAAGGCGCAU
rnacentral:rRNA from 1 species